UGUGUGUGAUGGCGUGCCUUUUGAAGAAUGAGCCUGCGAGUCAGCGGCAUGUCGCGAGGUUAACCCGUUAUGUGGGGUAGUCGUAGCGAAAGCGAAUCCUAAGAGGGUGUCAAGUGGCAUGUCCUGGACCCGAAGCGGGGUGAUCUACCCAUGGCCAGUGUGAAGCAGCUGUAAGAGGUUGUGGAGGCGCGAACCCACUUAGGUUGAAAACUGAGGGGAUGAGCUGUGGGUAGGGGUGAAAGGCCAAUCAAACUCCGUGAUAGCUGGUUCUCCCCGAAAUGCAUUUAGGUGCAGCGUGAUGUGUGCUUACCGGAGGUAGAGCUACUGGAUGGCCGAGCGGGACUAUCAUCUUAGUGACGUCAGCCAAACUCCGAAUGCCGGUGAAGUUUUAGCAUUGCAGUGAGACUGUGGGGGAUAAGCUUCAUAGUCGAGAGGGAAACAGCCCAGAUCGCCGGUUAAGGCCCCUAAGGGUGUGCUAAGUGGAAAAGGAUGUGGGAUCGCGAAGACAGCCAGGAGGUUGGCUUAGAAGCAGCCAUCCUUGAAAGAGUGCGUAAUAGCUCACUGGUCGAGUGGUUCUGCGCCGACAAUGUAGUGGGGCUCAAGCACACCGCCGAAGCCGCGGCAUAGUUUUUACUAUGGGUAGGGGAGCGUCGUGUGUGGGGUGAAGCCGUAUCGGAAGAAGCGGUGGACUGCACGCGAGUGAGAAUGCAGGCAUGAGUAACGAAUGAUACGUGAGAAUCGUAUCCGCCGAAUGACUAAGGGUUCCUGGGUCAAGUUCGUCUUCCCAGGGUGAGUCGGGUCCUAAGGCGAGGCCGACAGGCGUAGUCGAUGGUCAACGGGUUGAUAUUCCCGUACCCGUAUAUACGCGCCCAGUAUCGAAGCGGUGAUACUAACCACCCAGAGCCGCCGACAUGCACAUCUUUGAUGUGUGGUUGGUGGUGAUGCGUGGGGCCUGAUCCGUUGUAGGUCAGUGAUGGGGUGACGCAGCAAGGUAGCCAAGCCGCUUAUUGGAUUGCGGUGCAAGCGUGUGGCACGACAGCAUGUCAAAUGCGGCUGUCAUAAGUGUGAGGCGUGAUGCGUAGCCCAUAUAUGGGUGAUGUUGGUGAUCCUCUACUGCCGAGAAAAGCCUCUAGCGAUGUGUGUAUACGGCCCGUACCCGAAACCGACACAGGUAGUCAAGUAGAGAAUACUCAGGCGGUCGGGAGAACUGUGGUUAAGGAACUCGGCAAAUUACCCCCGUAACUUCGGGAGAAGGGGGACCCAAACUGGUGCCCGAUCAUACGAUCGUGGUUGCUGGCGUGGGUCGCAGAGAAUAGAGGGGAGCGACUGUUUAUCAAAAACACAGGUCCGUGCGAAGACGAUGAAGUUGAUGUAUACGGACUGACGCCUGCCCGGUGCUGGAAGGUUAAGAGGACCUGUUAGGACAUUUUGUCCGAAGCGGAGAAUUUAAGCCCCAGUAAACGGCGGUGGUAACUAUAACCAUCCUAAGGUAGCGAAAUUCCUUGUCGGGUAAGUUCCGACCUGCACGAAUGGCGUAACGACUCCCCUGCUGUCUCAACCACAGACCCGGUGAAAUUGCACUACGAGUAAAGAUGCUCGUUACGCGCGGCAGGACGAAAAGACCCCGGGACCUUCACUAUAGCUUGGUAUUGGCAUUCGGUGCGGUUUGUGUAGGAUAGGUGGGAGACGUUGAAGCGGCCACGCCAGUGGUUGUGGAGUCGUUGUUGAAAUACCACUCUGACCGUAGUGGAUAUCUAACCUUGGCCCAUGAUCUGGGUUGGGGACAGUGCCUGGUGGGUAGUUUAACUGGGGCGGUUGCCUCCCAAAAUGUAACGGAGGCGCCCAAAGGUUCCCUCAGCCUGGUUGGCAAUCAGGUGUUUAGAGUGUAAGUGCACAAGGGAGCUUGACUGCGAGACUUACAAGUCGAGCAGGGACGAAAGUCGGGACUAGUGAUCCGGCACCUACUUGUGGAUGUGGUGUCGCUCAACGGAUAAAAGGUACCCCGGGGAUAACAGGCUGAUCUUCCCCAAGAGUCCAUAUCGACGGGAUGGUUUGGCACCUCGAUGUCGGCUCGUCGCAUCCUGGGGCUGGAGUAGGUCCCAAGGGUUGGGCUGUUCGCCCAUUAAAGCGGCACGCGAGCUGGGUUCAGAACGUCGUGAGACAGUUCGGUCUCUAUCCGCCGCGCGCGUUGAAACUUGAAGAAGGCUGUCCCUAGUACGAGAGGACCGGGACGGACGUACCUCUGGUGUGCCAGUUGUUCCGCCAGGAGCACAGCUGGUUGGCUACGUACGGAAGGGAUAACCGCUGAAAGCAUCUAAGCGGGAAGCCUGUUUUAAGAUGAGGUUUCAUUUGAGGUUCCCAGAAGACGACUGGGUUGAUAGGCCGGAACUGGAAGCACAGCAAUGUGUGGAGGCGACCGGUACUAAUACACCAAACAAACCAACA
rnacentral:rRNA from 1 species